rnacentral:rRNA from 1 species
UACGUAGGUGGCAAGCGUUGUCCGGAUUUAUUGGGUUUAAAGGGUGCGUAGGCGGUCUAUUAAGUCAGUUGUGAAAUACGGCAGCUCAACUGUCGAGGUGCAAUUGAUACUGAUGGACUUGAGUACUGAUGAGGUAAGCGGAAUGGACGGUGUAGCGGUGAAAUGCGUAGAGAUCGGGAGGAACAUCUGUGGCGAAGGCGGCCACCUGGACCAGCACUGACACUGAGGCACGAAAGCGUGGGGAGCAAACAGG